rnacentral:lncRNA from 1 species
GGCAGCCCUGGGAGAGAAAGAGGAUGGUGGCUCUGGGGCGGCUGCUCUGACCUCGUCCUGUUCCUUCCAGGGCCAACAUGGAGCCGGGCCAGAGUAUGCCUGAUGGAGCAAGACAGAGGAAGAGAGAGGGGAAAGGCCAGGAGGAAGAGGGGGAGACUCAGGGGCUGAAUGGAAGCAUCAAGCAACUGGACAGUGUCACUAGUGUCAUCGAAUGGAGGAGACACAUGGAGGUGGUGAAGUCUGAGCUGCUGGAGCACCUGCAGGCACAGUUUGGGGACCUGCUGGACAAGGCCAUGGAGGAGGCUGCGCGUUCCUACCCCCAGACCCCAAGGAAGGGCCAGCUGGAAAAAG